UACGAAGGGUGCAAGCGUUGCUCGGAAUUAUUGGGCGUAAAGGGUAGGUAGGUGGUGACAUUUGUCUGGGGUGAAACCCCUGAGCUUAACUCAGGAAGUGCCUUGGAAACGGUGUCACUAGAGUGCUGGAGAGGUUCGCAGAAUUCUUGGUGUAGCGGUGAAAUGCGUAGAUAUGCGGAGGAACACCGAUGGCGAAGGCAAUCCCCUGGGCCUGCACUGACGCUCAUGCACGAAAGCGUGGGGAGCAAACAGG
rnacentral:rRNA from 1 species